rnacentral:lncRNA from 10 species
ACAACUGCAGCGAGAGAAGAGGCUGGCAGCAUGGGUGGCAGGAGGCUUGGCAGCCUCACAGGAUGCCUGCAAAUACCUUUCACUUAUGCAGUUUGGCAGUGCAGUGGUGCAUGGAGACAGCGUCUUGGGCCUGGCACCCACAGCCACUUAGGAAGUUGGAGUCCUGGAGAGGAGAACACAGAACGUGGACAACUAGCUGUCAAAUUGCAGUAAAAGUUGGUUCAGGAAAAGUGGAAGCUACCCAGAUGUCUACCAAUUGAGAUGAACCAUCCAAUCUCCUGCCUCGAGUAUUGAAGCCUGGCUACUGUGACUGUGGGGAAGGGAUUAAUGGUCUCAGCAUUCAAAGCUUCUAUUCUGGAAUAGAACAGCUAGCAUACUACCAAGACUUUUCAAGGAGCAAGAAUGGAGCUCCCUGGAGAACUGACUGAACAUGGCUUCAGAGGCAGUAUCCAUGUCACAUUUCAAAGGCCAGAUCUUUCCCAGGGCUUAAGCUGUUCCUUGGAUACUUUUGCUGAUGGUUUACACAUCUUCUUCCCACAUUAUAUUGUAACUUUCUU